ACAGUUUUCACUUCUUUAUAACUCUUCUUUCAUCUGCUCAGCGCAGAUUUCCAUUAAAAAACAUAACAGCUUUAGGGUUUCUGGCAGCAUCUGCAUUUGAUAUAUAUUCUCAUCUCAUUCCUAGUUGCUCCAACUUCAUCCAAGCUUAGCAUCAUAACCAGGCCACAUUUUAUUUUAUACAUAUAUCAUCUUUCAAAAUAUUUUUGGUUUCAAUAAUUUGCCUGUUUGGUUUUUAUCUUUAUUCUUCAUCUUCUUCAUGGAUACUGCUGAUCUGAAAAUUAGGGCUUCCUGCACUCAUUGUUCCAUGCCAGCAAUUUUUUGUAUUGGAUAGUUAUAUAUGGUAUAUUAAUUAACCAAACAUAUUGGUAAUAAUUUUCAGAACUUUGUUUGAAACUUUGAGUUUGUAAAUUAACUUGCAUGAAGUCAUGAAUAUAGAACCUAAUUCCCGCACUAGCUUGUUUAAUUAUCAAGAAUCUGGUUUUUGCUGCUAGCUAUGGUGGAAUAAUUCAGAUCUUCUCCUUUUAUUUUUGGGGUUCUUAGCUUUCCUUUAUUUGAAACAAGCCUUAUUUUGCCAUCUGAUAUUCUUUCAUUACAUAAUUUUAUAAGAUUUUAGUUCUAAUAUAGAUAGAUGGUGAUCCAUCAAAUAUAUGGUUUAUUUCUUAAUUUUCUGCUAUAUAUGAGGUAUAUUAAUGAAUUCUCAAUAUAUUGACCCAAUUAUCAUUCUUUAGUUAUAUACAUGGCAUUUAAACUUUUGACCUAUAUAAUUACCUUAAAAUCUCACUAUAGUAGCCUAAUCAUACUGACUUGACACUCAAUUACUAAUACAAAAUUCAUAGAUAGUUUUAAUCAGAUUGAUUGAUCAUCAUACUUUCCGACUUUAUGUCUUGAAGUGCAUGUUAACGCCUGUUUGCAAUGCUGGUACUAAUACCGAGAUAUAAGUAUCAUUUGUUUGGGAGGAAAAAUGUACAUUGGGAGAGAAAGAGAAUGAAGGAGCUUCCUUCAGCCCACGCAUGGAUAUUGAGGAUAAAAAAUGUUGCUCAAGUAUAUGCAGACUCAUAUUCACUCAUGCUUCAGUAGGGUUAAAUGAAGUUGUUUGCAUUAUCUUUAUCUAUGCUUGGACUGAAGGGGAGCUCCUUCUUUCUAUUGCCUCCAUUAUUCAUUUGUUGGUAUCUGACUCAAUCAGCUUUAUUAUGUCUACUGGCACAAAUCACUACUGUAGCUGAUGUCUACCAGCUCUUUGUAUUGUAAGUAUUAAAUCUUCAACUCAACACUGCCCCAUCAUGAAAGCCAAAAAUAUCUGAGCACCAACCAGCAUAUGAAUUUUAUAGCUGGAUGACCCACUUGCUUGUACUUUUUUUUUCACUUGACAGGAAAAUCAUCAUGUGUGUCCAAGUAGCUAGAUCCAUAGCAUGUUCUGAUUAUCAACUUUUCUUUCACCAGAAUCAAUUUUGAAAUACAGAAACUAUUCACAGCAGAUUUUCUUCAGAAUUGAUUCUGAUUCAAAAUUGAUUGUAAAAAAAAAAUUCAGACAUUCACUGAUAGAAUGUUUUAAUUGGCAGUUUGCAGGUAAUUCAAAACACGGUAGUUUUAGAAGCUACAUUUUAUAGCUUCUCCUAUGAGUGACGCGGAACCAAACAUGCUAUGAUGAUCUAUAAUUAACAGUUUAACACAAGCAGUGAUCUCAUAUUAUCUCUGAUGAACACGGAAGCAGAUUAUCAUAACACUGUGCUACUUGUACUUUCCUUUCCGGUUCCUGUACAAGCAUAUCUUCUCUCUCUCUCUCCAUGCUUUUCUUUCCUCUUUUGGGGCAUGGAAAAGCAAAUGUUAGGUCAUACUAUAUAGUGUGUGUUUAGAUUUCAGUUUUACUAACAUGGUUUGGGUGAAUGUGAAUUUGUAAAAUAGAGUUUGAGUCAAAGUAGGUUGGUUGUAAUCUGAUUUAUGUUUAGAUACUUUUA